rnacentral:rRNA from 1 species
UAUGUGAUCGUCUCUCGCAUAUCAAUAAGCGGAGGAAAAGAAACUAACAAGGAUUCCCCUAGUAACGGCGAGUGAAGCGGGAAGAGCUCAAAUUUGAAAUCUUAAAGGGUUUCCCUUUACGAAUUGUAGUUUAAAGAAGUGUUUUCCUGUUGAGGUUUUGGUAAAAGUUCUUUGGAAUAGGACAUCAUAGAGGGUGAGAAUCCCGUAUUUGACCUUUACUUUCAACUUUGUGAUACACUUUCAAAGAGUCGGAUUGUUUGGGAAUGCAGUCCGAAAUGGGUGGUAAAUUUCAUCUAAAGCUAAAUAUUGGCGAGAGACCGAUAGCGAACAAGUACCGUGAGGGAAAGAUGAAAAGAACUUUGAAAAGAGAGUUAAACAGUACGUGAAAUUGUCAAAAGGGAAGCGUUUGACACCAGUGUUGUUUUUCUGAAAAUCAAUUAAAGAACUGUUUAUGCUAAGCUGUUUAGACUUUAUCAGCUAUCUGUUUAGUUUUGAGCUUUUCUUUAAUGCACUUUUCAGUUAACAAGUCAACAUCAAUUUCUUUUGCUGUAAAAAAGCUUGAGGAAGGUGGCUUGAGAUUCGUCUUAAGUGUUUAUAGCCUCUUGCCUAUGCAGUCGGAGAGAUUGAGGUCUGCAGCGUAGAUCCUUCGGGGCUAAAUGCAUUUGUGCUAAGUUAUAGCAUUUUAUAGACAACUUGUUGACUAUGAUUUGUCUUGUAGCUUACUCGCUUAUGUUAUUUUACCUACGCUUAGGAUGUUGACACACGCGCGUGCUC